rnacentral:rRNA from 1 species
GACAUCCCGGUGACCACUAUGGAGACAUAGUUUCCCCUUCGGGGGCAACGGUGACAGGUGGUGCAUGGUUGUCGUCAGCUCGUGUCGUGAGAUGUUGGGUUAAGUCCCGCAACGAGCGCAACCCUUAUUCUUAGUUGCCAUCAUUCAGUUGGGCACUCUAAGGAGACUGCCGGUGAUAAACCGGAGGAAGGUGGGGAUGACGUCAAAUCAUCAUGCCCCUUAUGACCUGGGCUACACACGUGCUACAAUGGACGGUACAAACGGUUGCCAACCCGCGAGGGGGAGCUAAUCCGAUAAAACCGUUCUCAGUUCGGAUUGUAGGCUGCAACUCGCC